GAAACGACUGCUAAGACUGGAUAGGAAGAUAAAAGGCAUCUUUUAUCUUUUAAAAGACCUAGUAAUAGGUAUGCUUUAGGAGGGGCUUGCGCCAUAUUAGUUAGUUGGUAGGGUAAUGGCCUACCAAGACGAUGAUGUGUAGCUGGACUGAGAGGUUGAACAGCCACAUUGGGACUGAGACACGGCCCAAACUCCUACGGGGGGCAGCAGUAGGGAAUUUUCGGCAAUGGAGGAAACUCUGACCGAGCAACGCCGCGUGAAUGACGAAGUACUUCGGUAUGUAAAGUUCUUUUAUCAAGGAAGAAAAGCAAAUGGCGAACCAUUUGUUUGCCGGUACUUGAUGAAUAAGCCCCGGCUAAUUAUGCGCCAGCAGCCGCGGUAAGACAUAAGGGGCAAGUGUUAUCCGGAAUUAUUGGGCGUAAAGGGUGCGUAGGCGGUCUAGUAAGUCAGUGGUGUAAUGGCAACGCUUAACGUUGUCCGGCUAUUGAAACUGCUAAACUUGAGUUAGAUAGAGGCGAGUGGAAUUCCAUGUGUAGCGGUAAAAUGCGUAAAUAUAUGGAGGAACACCAGAGGCGUAGGCGGCUCGCUGGGUCUUAACUGACGCUGAGGCACGAAAGCGUGGGGAGCAAACAGGAUUAGAUACCCUGGUAGUCCACGCCGUAAACGAUGAGUACUAAGUGUCGGGGUUAAACCGGGUACUGAAAGUAAACACAUUAAGUACUCCGCCUGAGUAGUACGUACGCAAGUAUGAAACUUAAAGGAAUUGACGGGACUCCGCACAAGCGGUGGAUCAUGUUGUUUAAUUCGAAGAUACCCGAAAAACCUUACCAGGUCUUGACAUGUUUUUGCAAAAUGAUAGUAAUAUCGUGGAGGUUACCAGAAACACAGGUGGUGCAUGGUUGUCGUCAGCUCGUGUCGUGAGAUGUUAGGUCAAGUCCUAAAACGAGCGAAACCCUUAUCGUUAGUUGCCAGCAUGUUAUGGUGGGGACUUUAACGAGACUGCCAAUGAUAAAUUGGAGGAAGGUGAGGAUCACGUCAAAUCAGCGUGCCCCUUAUGACCUGGGCUACAAACGUGAUACAAUGGCUGUUACAAAGGGUAGCUGAAACGCAAGUUCUUGGCCAAUCCCCAAAAACAGUCCCAGUCCGGAUUGAAGUCUGCAACUCGACUUCAUGAAGUUGGAAUCGCUAGUAAUCGCGAAUCAGCAUGUCGCGGUGAAUACGUUCUCGGGGUUUGUACACACGCCCGUCA
rnacentral:rRNA from 1 species